GUUGGGGUGGCAGAGCUCGGUAACUGCAAAAGGCCUAAGCCCUUUACCACAGGGGUUCAAAUCCUCUCCUCAACU
rnacentral:tRNA from 1 species